rnacentral:lncRNA from 1 species
CCAAUCUGAGUUGCCCUUCGACAAGCGAUGACUUCUGCAGCGAAAGGAGAGGCGACCUCUCUGUGAAGUUCUGUGCAAGAAAUGAGAACAUGACCCUUACUAUCUCUGACCACGAUUCCUGACGCCGAUUGGUGGUUUCUCAUAUCAUAAGCCCCAUCAAAGUUUACUUUUGCUACCUGCCCAAGUGGGUGAUUCCAUUUGACUCCAUCCUUAGGGGCCUUAUGGGUUUUGUUACCUGCCCCAUCGAUUUCAUAUAAAAAAUUUUGAACAUAUUUCGUUAUCUCCUGACUUGAUCUGUUUGUGUUUUCGUAUCCGACCCCAGUUAGCAUAAAGCGCCCCACAAAAAGUCCUUCGCUGAUCCCGAGGGAGCGAAUCAAAGACUUUGGUAAGCCACUUCUCAAACUCUAUGUUUGUCCCCUGUGUAAGAUUAAAGAUAGAUAAUGCUUCCCAUACUGCCGCUGACAAAGGACAUUUUCGAAAAAGGUGGUCCAUUGUUUCUGCUUCCACACCACAUGGCGGACAUAUUGAGUUGCUUGCUAAUCUCCUAUAUAAUUUAUUAUUGUUUUACUUUUUCUUUGUGGGGUCAAUUGAAUUCGUAAUAUUGUGUGGCUCCGCCCAUGAGCACUACUUGAAACCUAACUCUACUCUCUAUUGACCAGAAUAUGAUGAUUUAAUGAAAUGUUAAUGGAUAUGUGAAACAAGAGGGUAGGCAAAGACCUAUAACUGUUAAGGAUGCUUUCAACGAGACAUUAGAGGAAGCGAGUAUACUUGAUUAGAGGAAACGAGGCUUUAGAUCUAUAACUGUUAAGGAUGCUUUCAACGAGGUUAUUUUACCUGGCUAAUAAUUGAGGGGCAAGAGAUUUGGUCAAGGAAAGCUUGGACCGCUUCAUAGCUACUGCAGAUUGGACCGAGUUAUUUUUGAAUUUGCUGGUAGGAUUCUUGAUUUAGGUGGUGUUAAAUCAUAACCCAAUAUUCAUUGACAUAUAUGGCAUAAAGAAAUGAAAUCUUUGAAGAAACUUUCGUUUCAAUGCGUGUUGAUUUGUAGAAUUUGAUCUGAAUUUCAAUUAAGUUAAAAAUAUUAAAAAAAAUUUAUGAAAAUAAUACAUUAACUUUUAAUCAAUAUAUUUUUAUAUUAUUAUUUCACUAAUCACCAAUGUAAUCCGAGUUUGCUGAUUGCCAAGUCCAUCUGUAGCGAGUAGAACCAACAAGGGGCAAGGGCCAAUCAAGGCUGUUUUUUUUCUUUUAAUCCACAUAUUUAAUAUAUCAUGUCAAUUUUGUCAAUUGUGUGAUGCUUGGGGAAAAAAAGAGCAUUUAUCUGGCUUAUCCACAACGAGAGUGCAAAGAAAUG